ACGGAGGGUGCAAGCGUUAAUCGGAAUCACUGGGCGUAAAGCGCGCGUAGGCUGUUUUGUAAGUUAGGGGUGAAAGCCCACGGCUCAACCGUGGAACUGCCUUUAAAACUGCGAGACUUGAGUACGGGAGAGGGUGGCGGAAUUCCAGGUGUAGGGGUGAAAUCCGUAGAUAUCUGGAGGAACACCGGUGGCGAAGGCGGCCACCUGGCCCGUAACUGACGCUGAGGUGCGAAAGCGUGGGUAGCAAACAG
rnacentral:rRNA from 1 species